AUAAUCUGAAGGUCGUGAGUUCG
rnacentral:piRNA from 2 species